rnacentral:rRNA from 1 species
CUACGGGGGGCAGCAGGUGCGAAAACUUUACAAUGCACGAAAGUGUGAUAAGGGAAUCUCGAGUGCUUUACUAUUAUUGUAAAGCUUUUGUUAAGUGUAAAUAGCUUAACGAAUAAGUGGUGGGUAAGACUGGUGCCAGCCGCCGCGGUAACACCAGCGCCACGAUGGUGAUCGCGUUUAUUGGGUCUAAAGGGUCCGUAGCUGGUUUGGAAGGUUCUUUGUAAAAUUGUUGGGCUUAACUUAACAACUUGCAAGGAAAACCAUCAUACUAGGAACCGGGAGAAGGCAGAAGUACUUCGAGGGGAAUGGUAAAAUAUUAUAAUCCUUGAAGGACUACCUGUGGCGAAGGCAUCUGCCUAGAACGGGUUCGACAGUGAGGGACGAAAGCUAAGGGAGCGAUCCGGAUUAGAUACCCCCGUAGUC